GGCUGAGUGUGCCCUUUGCAGGAGGCCUCCAGGGCCUUGCUGGAGUCUGGCUGGCUGUUCUGAGGCUGUCUCUGCUGGCUCCGCACCUGCUGCAUGGGCUGCUGCCACGCCCCUAGGUGCUGCCCCAGGCCUGGAUCCCGAAGGCCAGAGGGUCACUCAUGGCGGUGCUGUGGGGUUCGUGUUCACUUUAGCAGCAGCGAGGCUGAGUAAGCAGCCAGGACCCCUCUGAAGUAAGGGAGGUGAGUGAGGCCAGAACAGAAGCACAGACCUGGAAAAUAAGGCAAGGACCAAGGAUGGGAAAGGAGGAGAAAUGUAUGCACAAGUGCGAUGGGAGUGAAGAGAUGUCAGAAGUGCGAACACAGCGUCUGCGGUCGGAGAACGGCAACUGAGGCUCUGAAUUCUUGAAAAUAAGAGGAUUUCAUGGAGAAACCAAGCCUGAAGUCCAGCCUAAGCCACAGGAUUUUUGUGAGAGUCCAUAUAUGUUCACACCGGCCUGGAGGAAUGAACAUCUUCCCCGUGAUGAAGUUGUGCAGGAUAAACUGGAGGCCACGGUGAGAUCACGGGGAGCAAAAGAACUGAGCUCUAUCACCAUGUAAUUGCCAUAUAAUAUU
rnacentral:lncRNA from 1 species